GAUCAUUAGAUUAUAUAUAUUUGUGAAUUUAUACAGCAAACAAUAAUUUUAUAAUCAACACCAAAAAAAUUAAAACUUUUAACAAUGGAUCUCUUGGUUCUCGUAUCGAUGAAGAACGCAGCGAAACGCGAUAUUUCUUGUGAAUUGCAGAAGUGAAUCAUCAGUUUUUGAACGCACAUUGCACUUUGGGGUAUCCCCCAAAGUAUACUUGUUUGAGCGUUGUUUCUCUCUUGGAAUUGCAUUGCUUUUCUAAAAUUUCGAAUCAAAUUCGUUGAAAAACAACACUAU
rnacentral:misc_RNA from 1 species